rnacentral:rRNA from 2 species
AGUGAAGCGGUAACAGCUCAAAUUUGAAAUCUGGCCUCACGGUCCGAGUUGUAAUUUGUAGAGGAUGCUUCGAGCAUGGUCUGGCCUAAGUUCCUUGGAACAGGACGUCAUAGAGGGUGAGAAUCCCGUAUGCGGCCAGGUGCCUACGCUCAUGUGAAGCUCCUUCGACGAGUCGAGUUGUUUGGGAAUGCAGCUCAAAAUGGGUGGUAAAUUUCAUCUAAAGCUAAAUAUUGGCCAGAGACCGAUAGCGCACAAGUAGAGUGAUCGAAAGAUGAAAAGCACUUUGGAAAGAGAGUUAAACAGUACGUGAAAUUGUUGAAAGGGAAGCGCUUGCAACCAGACUUGCGCGCGGCCGAUCAUCCGGUGUUCUCACCGGUGCACUCGGCCGUGCUCAGGCCAGCAUCGGUUUUGGCGGCUGGAUAAAGGCCCUAGGAAUGUGGCUCCUCUCGGGGAGUGUUAUAGCCUAGGGUGCAAUGCAGCCUGCUGGGACCGAGGACCGCGCUUCGGCUAGGAUGCUGGCGUAAUGGUUGUAAGCGGCCCGUCUUGAAACACGGACCAAGGAGUCUAACAUCUAUGCGAGUGUUUGGGUGUCAAACCCAUACGCGUAAUGAAAGUGAACGGAGGUGAGAACCCUUAAGGGUGCAUCAUCGACCGAUCCUGAUGUCUUCGGAAGGAUUUGAGUAAGAGCAUAGCUGUUGGGACCCGAAAGAUGGUGAACUAUGCCUGAAUAGGGUGAAGCCAGAGGAAACUCUGGUGGAGGCUCGCAGCGGUUCUGACGUGCAAAUCGAUCGUCAAAUUUGGGUAUAGGGGCG